AGCUUCUCUAUGGACCAUACGAAGCAGCCUCUGUUGGAAAAUUGAACUUGGAACCUGCUGCUUUUGGUGGAAAGUUUCCUGCACAGGUGAGCUUCAGAAUUUGCAAAGAUUGUUUUCCAUUGCCUGAGAGGUCCUUUAAACAUGCUAUCCAAGAUAACUAUCAGAAAGGAAAAUUUAAACAAGAACUAAAUGACCAGCAAGUAAAGAGUCUCUUGUCAUUGUUUCGUCCGCUUUUGCCUGCAUUAGCUCUUGUUCCUCCUAUAUCGCCUUGUGUAUCCAUGUCAUUGCCAGCCAUAGAGAAUCAGUUUCUGCCCCAAGCAACUGUGCCUUCACGAGAGGAUUCAUAUGUAGCUGGGAUACAACUUAGUCGUAACCAAUCAUUGUUGACUCCUCAACAUGCUCUACAUGAGGUACGAGGCCCACAACAUGCUUAUUAUGGAUCCUCAACGCAUAAGCAUCCAUCAGUGAAGCUACAAGAUAUGCAAGCUCCUAGAAUGCGUCAUUUGGAGGAUCCUUAUUUCGCUAGGAUGCAGCACAAUCAUGACCCACAAGUGUUGGCAACUCAAUAUAUUGAGCAGAGGGUCUUACCAUCUCAACCUGGUUCACAUGGAGCCAUGGUAAACAUGGGUUAUGCCCAUCAAGCUAUGGAACCACAAACUCUACCAAUUCGAAAUGCCCUGUACAAUUCCACAGAUGCUUCAUAUGGGGCUUUGCAACCUGCUUCAUAUGAAAACAUUGGUUAUGUCCAUCAAGCCAUGAAACCACAAACUCUACCUGUUCCAACUGCCCCAUGCCAUUCCACAGAUGCUCAACGGGCACACUUUCUUGGGUACCCAUACCACAGAUAUGGGCCUGGCGAGGAGAUGUUUCCGAAUGUUCAACACCUUGGCUCAGCAAAUGAGCAUUAUCAGUAACAAUCACAGAAGCAAGAAAUUGCUCUGCAUCAGGAAAAUGUUCAGAACUACAAUUACUUGCCUGCAACCACAAAACUGCACAAACAUCAAUAAUUGGAUGGCACUAAAGCAUCAACCGCUGGAUGGGCGGUGGGGAAUAUUCCUUUUCCUCCAUAUUCCUAUGUUGAGGUCACUUCAACACAUUGUCAGGCAAUUUGAGUUGAGAAGAGGCCAUAAUUUUGCUGGAAUAUUAUCGUACGAUUUGGCCAGUUACAUUUGCAUUGCAUAGUAAAAUUAAGAACUCCCAACAACCUUUAAUGAGAAUCUAAACGUUCACUGGCUUAUUCUGAUCAUUGUAAUUUUCCAUAUUCAUGAUAAUACCUAGAAGCUCUCAAUUAAUACCGACUGGAAGCUGGUGGAUUACAUGUCAUUUUAGUGGUAAAAUCCAACUGUAAUCCAAUAUUUGUUAUAUGACUCUCUCUUUCAAUGAUAUUGGUCAUUUUUGGUUGGAUUUUACCACUAAAAUGACAUGU
rnacentral:misc_RNA from 1 species